GUUUGCUUUUAUAAACUCAUUUACCAAAAUUAGAAUGAUGCAAAGAAGAUUAACAUGGGUCCUAUACAAGAAUGAUGCAAAGUCAUGAAAUGGUCCAUUUUAAA